rnacentral:rRNA from 1 species
UACGAAGGGGGCUAGCGUUGCUCGGAAUCACUGGGCGUAAAGCGCACGUAGGCGGCUUGUUAAGUCAGGGGUGAAAUCCUGGAGCUCAACUCCAGAACUGCCUUUGAUACUGGCGAGCUUGAGUCCGGGAGAGGUGAGUGGAACUGCGAGUGUAGAGGUGAAAUUCGUAGAUAUUCGCAAGAACACCAGUGGCGAAGGCGGCUCACUGGCCCGAUACUGACGCUGAGGUGCGAAAGCGUGGGGAGCAAACAGG